rnacentral:lncRNA from 1 species
GAGGGAAACUUUGCUUCUGGUUAGAAUCUACCAGUCUUUGGGCGGUAGCAGCUGUCAUGGGACCGGGUGGGCGGGGAGAGGCUUGCAAGCUGACUCCUUGCGGUGAGACGCGACUUGGAGGGGGGACGCAGCGGCCGAGAGACGUUCUGCUCCGGGAAACCUCCCGGUGGCGAAUUGAAGCUGGCGACUAGGACAGGCGUCGUUGCGGGGGUGUCGCCGAGAGGAAGCCCGCCACGCGCGGGAGACGGCGGGCCAUAGCUCUCUGCAAACGCCGUGGCGUCCCGGAGCCGCGGGGGCCGCGUGGUGUGUGGCUGGCGCGCUCUCGGGUGGGUUCAUAGCAGAGGCCCAAGGGGAUGGUGGCGGGUGAUCGCGCUUCUUCAGGUCGGGAGGCGGUGUUAAUGAGCGGGCUGUGCGCGGGUGUGUGUGUGUGUGUGUGUGUGUGUGUGUGUGUCCCCUGAGCCUGUGCACACGCCGCGCGCGCCGGGCGCGUACCUUUACCUCUGACGAAACUGCAGUGGAGCGCCGGGCAGCGUCGCCGGGCACGGUCACACGCCCGGUGUUUAUGUCUGCCCAAGGCGGGCCUUAGCACCCCGGGGGUGGACAGCGUGGAACCAGGGCUGGAGGUGGUAGGGGCAUGGGGGUCCGGGAGAAGACCUGCACCCCAGAUCUCGAUUGCCUGGAGUCGUGUCCAUAUCUCUACACUUAAGAACCGAGUAGCCCAAAAUAGCCAGUGAGACUCCUUCACACAUACCAAGAUUGUCUGCUCUGGACAGGACCCUCGACUUUAACUCUAGCUUUUGGUGUUUGGCUCACCGAUAAUUAAUUAACUGUUUGCCCUUUUAGCCACCAGCCUAUCCCACUCAGUAGGGUAAUUUCCUAGCUUCACCAAAGGAAUCUGGAAAAUUGGGUAAUCAGUUGUCAGCAGAAGCAGUGCAGUGAAAGUUAAUUUGGGACGUUUGUUCCCCCCCACCCCACCCCCUUUUAACUUAAUCACGUGAUAGGCCGAAGAUCUCCGGGUGAUCUUUGCCGGGCCAACUUGGGAAAUGUAAUUGAUACCAGGAGCUUUGCAGCCGCCCCUAGAAGGCUCAGAGCUGAGCGGGAAUGGGCGGGGCAGCCCGCCGCCUCAUUUUACAGUUGGGGAAGAGGCUGCGAGGGGUGAACUGCUUGUCCACGACCACUCAGCCAGGGGGUGACAGAGCCACCCAGGGCUCCUGACUCCAGGUCCUGUGUGUUACCUCGAAAUAGCACUGGACUUGGAGUCAGAAGGCCUGAGUGGAGUCACCUUCCCCGCUCUCUGGCUGGGUGAUCCUGGAGCAAGCCAUUUUAACUCUCCAGCCGUGUUUCUCCAUCUGUCCAAUGGGGCCGGUGUGGUGCUGACGGAGAAGCCAGAGGCCUGCUGGUGGGGGUGAGCCUGUGUUUGCAUGUGAGCUGUCUGGCUGUCCAGCUUCUUCCCCACAGCCCUUCCCAGACCCUCCCCUCCCCCCAGCUCUCCCCCUCGGGAGGGUUGGGGAAAGUGGAUUGUCUCUGUUCCCCCAAAGAGUUCUUCUUGUCUUUGGUGGCUAACCCAGGCUUAGAUUAUAGAGAUCUGUUUGAGAGACUUAACGUUUAUUCGUUGGGGCCAAAGUAGCCAUUUAUCAGAACCAGGCUUGUGGAAGCGUUUUGGAAAUGUUUGAAGAUUGGGUUCCAAAGACUCUGUGCUGACUUCGCUUUUGUUCCAGCUGUACCCCUUGCUUAGUGGGCCUUUGCCUACCAUCCCGCAUGGCUUUCUCCCUUAGUAGGCCUUCCUGCCAGCUUGCCCUGCUCUCUCUUCUGCCUUUCAUAGUUCGUUAUAAAGCCAAGCACUUUAUGUGUUUGAGUCUAUCCAGUAGGAUCCAAGUUGAGUCUUUUAUCUUUGUGUGCCCACAUGGCACCUGUCACCAUGCUGAGCAAUGCCCCUUUGCCUGGCUCUUGAUGAGGUACAUGGACUACAAAUAGGGGUACAGCUGAGCCUUGCCAGACAAGCUCAUGGGCUGACAGAGAAGACAGCUGGGUAGUGAACAUGGGAGAGGGGGCAUUGUCGAGGGCUACAGCUGCUAGCAAAAGCCUUGACUCCAAAGGCCAUGCAGGAAGCCCAGCAAAUAAAGGAAUUAUUUGAAGUCACUUGAGAGCCUGGAAGAACUGUGACAGUGUCAGAGACGACAAGGACAUUAUAAAUCAGCAAGUCCAACCCUUAUUUAAAAAUAAUUUUAACAGUGUUAGAAAACACUGCUAAGUGUCAUGAAAAGGGAGUCAUGUUUUAUAUUUUACAUUUGUCUAAAUUAGCUAAUUUUGUAUGUGUGUUUGCAUGUGUGUGCUCUGGCAUGUGUGUGGAGGUCAGAGGACGACGCCAUGAGGUGCAGAACUUUGUUCUCUUCCACAAAAUGGGACAUGGAGAUUGAACUCAGGUGGUCAGCCUUUGCCUGCUGAGGCCUCUCACCAGUCCAGAAAUAUGUAAUAUUAUCCAAAGAUAGCUGCUUUAAAGUCUAUGUAUCUCUAGAUGUUUUUUUUCUUUCCUAUUCAUAUAGACCAGUUAUUUUGGGGGGUGGGGGGAGAAGAAAAUGAUAAAUGAAGUUAUUCUGUUAUACUAAUUUGUAUCUUGCAAGCACACUGUUUUGUAACUUGCUUUUUUUUUUUCUCCUCCUCACAAUAUGCUGUGAACAUCUUUCCUCAUCAAUAAAUAUUGUGCCU